rnacentral:rRNA from 1 species
UGAAACAUCUUAGUAAUUGAUAUAAAUAUAAAAGUGGUAGUAGUGGCGAACGAAACCACCCCUGUAGUUUUUUAAAACGUAUGUAAAUAUAUUUAUUGGAAUGUUUAUCUAUAAAAAAAGUACUGUGAAGGAAACAUCUUAAUAAUUUAUUCUAUUAGUGAAUCUCACUUACCUCUUGUAUAAUGGUUCUACUAGAAUUUAGAUUAGCAAGCUUUUAGGCUUAAUUUCAGUUAAUUUAACCCGAAACCAAACGAUCUAAUUGUGAGUAAUCUUUAGAGUGAACCACUAAAUGUUGAAAAAUUUUUGGAUGACUUGCAUUUAGCAGUGAAAAGCUAAUCGAGUUUGGACAUAGCUGGUUCUCUACGAAAAAUAUUUUAGUUCCUAGACAAACGGUUUAAGAUCAUUUGUCCAAAGGGAAACAACCCUAAUUUUAACUAACAUGCCUAAUAUAGUAUAUAUUUUUUACUUUAACACUAAAAAAGUAGGCUUAGAAACAGCCUUAUUUUAAUACUAACGUAAUAGUUUAUUUAACGAGUUAUAUUUUUAAUUAAGCAACUCAUUAAUGAAAGUUAAAUUUAGUAGUAGAGCAUUCUUAUUCAAUCUAUGAAAAUAUAAGAAGAGAUAAUGUAGAAAUUAUUAAAAAUUACUUAACUUUUCUUACUUAUAGGUGUAAGGUUAAACAAUUUCUCAUUCAAUAAGGAAGAUUACCAAGCUUUUAGUAAAAAAAUCUGCUAAUGAAAUUUGUAAUUCUCACCAAGUAAGUAGCCUAUCAUAUAAAUAUAGCUUUAAGGAACUCGGCAAAAUGAAAAUCGACUGUUUACCAAAAACAUAGCCCUAGGUUUAAUCUAAGGUGUGACCUGCCCAGUGAUUAAUAAACCCAAAAUUAACUUUUUGGUAAUUUAAUUAAAAGGAAGCGGUAACCUUGACUGUAGUAAUGUAGCAUAAUCAUUCGUCACUUAAUUAGUGAAUAGUAUGAAUGGUUAAACGAAUUUUCCACUGUCUUAAAGUUAUUUCUAUAAAUUUAAGUUAAUAGUUAAGACGCUAUUUUAAAUUGUAAGACGAAAAGUCCCUAUAGAGCUUAACUACAAUCUUUUCUUAUCUUCUAAACAUUAUUUAUCUAGUGAAGAUCGGUAGUUUAGUUGGGGCGACUGCCUUUUAAAAAAAACAAAGGUAAGCAAACAUAAUAAAAUUAUUUAUUGUAUAAUUUAUAAAUUUAACAAUUACAAAGGUAGGCUAUAAUGACCCGUCUUUAACCAACAAGUGAAGACGAUUAAUAGAUAAAAGCUACCUUAGGGAUAACAGGAUAAUUUUAAUCUAGAGUCCAUAUCGAAGUUAAAGUUUGUCACCUCUAUGUUGAAUUAAGAUACCCAAGUGAUGCAGAAGUCACUAAUGGUAGGUCUGUUCGACCUUUAAAAUCUUACAUGAUUUGAGUUCAUUCCGUCGCAAGACAGGAAGGUUUCUAUCUACAAUUAUAAAUUUCUAUUUGAUUCUUAGUACGAAAGGAAUAGAAAUCUCAUUGGUAAUUUCUUAUUCAAUGUUUUGAAAAUUUGAUCGCAUCUAAAUUUUUUUUAGAAUUAAUUAAAU